rnacentral:rRNA from 1 species
GACGAAGGAUGCAAGCGUUAUCCGGAUUCAUUGGGUUUAAAGGGUGCGUAGGCGGACCUGUAAGUCAGUGGUGAAAUCUCUUUGCUUAACAAAGAAACUGCCAUUGAUACUGCAAGUCUAGAGUAUAGAUGACGUUGGCGGAAUAUGACAUGUAGUGGUGAAAUACUUAGAUAUGUCAUAGAACACCGAUUGCGAAGGCAGCUAACGAAAACUAUAACUGACGCUGAGGCACGAAAGUGCGGGGAGUCAAACAGG